rnacentral:rRNA from 1 species
CUAGUAAUCACAGGUCAGCAUACUGUGGUGAAUACGUUCCCGGGCCUUGUACACACCGCCCGUCACACCAUGAGAGUUGAGAAUACCCGAAGCCCAUGUCAAAGUGGUCGAAGGUAGGCUUGAUGAUUGGGGUGAAGUCGUAACAAGGUAAC